UGCCCACUCUCACUAGCCUCUCGUAUAUUGGGAUCAUUUGUAUACUUGUUAUAGGUCAAAUGGGUCCCCCUCGGGAAUAAAUGAAUAACUAACUCCUUCUCUGUCUGAUGCUUGCACUCCACACAAGAGGACUGCCUACUCCGAGACAGUGGACAGGCUAUGUCAGAAGAAAGAGAGAGGAGUUGGUAUCUGCUGGCACGGUAGGUUCUAUCCAAUGAGGUCAGAGGAGGGCUGUUGGCAGCUUCCGUUAAAUUCUGUUGGGACAGGCAAGUGGCCGCUGGCAGUUAGUUCUGAGGUGGAGCUAAGGAUGCUGGGAUAGAUUAAGUGAGCCUCACAUAAGUGCCCAACGAGAUGGAAUACAAGAGUGAAGGGUAGUCACACAUAAUGCCAAGGCCUCUUGUUAGUCUUUGGCUUCCAUAUCCUUCCUCAAAACUUCAAGUGCUCAUAACCCUUGGCAGCAAGGCCUGAAGCUAUGUUCAUACAAGAAGGAAUAUCCACACUUGCCUCGGGCUUCAGAACGAUCAGCCAGCAGAGGCCUUCCCACCAGAACCUGCCACUUCUUUAAAGCAGUCGUCCCAGUAAGUGCAGCCUCAGGAAUGUACUCAUAAGGAAGGAUUGUGACUUUAACUUCCACAGUAGGGGAGCCAUGUCUACAGGGCAGCCCAGGACCUACUGCAUAGUGUUUCUACCUCUGACCCACCACCAAUCCUGCCACUGGCAGUGUCUGGAACUCUUGUAUUUCCUGUCCCAGGGAAACAGCUGAGUUACUCAUAAGGGCUUAAGAGGUGGGUCAUGCAAUCACUCAGGCAAUGGCAGGCUGGGUGGAGCCCGGUGGAGAUCCCAGAGGAGAGCUGUACUGACCAUCCAGCCGUCCUUCCCACCGAUAUGGCUCUAAGAAGUUAUUGGCUUCCAAUAUUUGGGUUUUAUAUUCUUUCUUUUUUCCAACUUUCUCUUUCAGCCCGUUCUAGUAAACAGAAACCAAAAUAGCCACCCAGUGCUGCUCUCCACACUUCACCCUGCCUUUAGAUCAUUUCACUUGGGGGUAGGCUCCAGCGCUGUUUUUCCUUGUCAUUCUGGCUCAGGUUGUUUACUUGUUUGGGUUUUCUCCGGGGGGGGGGGUUGUUGUUGUUUUGUUUUUUCCUGGAAGCCAAACCACUAGCUCACUUCCACGCUUGCAGUUUUCAUUGUUAAGUAUCAAAGGCCCCUUUGGAUAGCAUUGAUAACAGUCCACAAUCUUGCCGUGGCUGCUGGGGAGUGGGGGUAGGGGGUCCUCUUCUUGCUGGGGCUGGUUUUAGAGACUCUCCUGUCCCGAGUUCAUUCAGGCAAGUUGUGAGAGAGACUUCCACGGUUACUGUUUUUACUCAGUUUUUUGUUGUUUCUGACUUUUAAUGUGAUUUGGGAGGACGGCCAACUCUGUUAGAGACCUGUCUUUUCCAAGCACAUGUAAGGUUAAUGUAGUUUAAAGAACAAGUUUCAAGGGAUGUAUGCACAGGGUCAUUUGAUUUGGUACAUAAUUUCAGUUCCGUUGCACAGAUUCUACAUUCCAAGAAGUUUUAAAUGAUUCUUUUGGAACCAUCUGCUGAGCCUUAGAGCAUUAAGCAUUUGAGUGGAAAUGUCUCUCCUUCAGUCACUCACUCAUUCAUUCAUUCCACAGACAGGUAUGGCACACAGAGAGCAGGGAAGGUGAGGAAAGAAGCCCACUGAGCACAGCAGAUAAGUCACUGCCGCGGGGACAGUGACAACCACUUCUUUGUAGGUAGGGUAGGGAGCCAGCCGGAACACAACAUGGAGUGAGGUCAGGGUUGGGGUACACAAGCUCCUAAAGCUUUCUAUUCUCCCUACUUUCCAGGUGCCCUGUGACCUGGUUGCCUGCUAGGUUUAGAAGAAGUUAUGCAAAGCCCUCUGUGCAGCUGGCCUUGGUAGCUGCAGGGCACUCCCUAGGUGGCCCCAGGGAAGCAGCAUCCUGCUGAGACCCUGUGCCCCUGGGGAGCACAGUUCCUGAAGAACUUUGUGAAAGAAAUGAAGUAUCUGGCAGUAAAAACUGUUUUGGACAGAGAGUUGAAUAUAGUCUUAGACCAGCCUUAAUUGACCCACAGCUAGGAAAACCCAAAGCCAUGCACAAGUGGUCACCUGCAGUGGAGAAAAGCAUUGGUUGUUAGCAAGAACAAUGGGACUUUACAUUGUUUUAAAAAAAAGAAAAAGUGUUUUGAGAUGCAUCAAGCCAAGCAUCUCCAACUAUCAAGCUGUUAUUGUCCCCUUAUCAUCUUGUUUUCUUCAAAGGACUGUGACAGCUGACAAAACAAGGUACAGUGGUCAGUGCCACACAGAGUGUGAGGCUAACACACGAAGCCAUAUUUUCAAAGUCUGAGGAUGUUUCAAAUCAACUCCUUGUAUGGCCCAAUUAGAUCUUUUAAACUCACAACGGAGAGAGAUUACUCUGGGUGCAGGACAUGGGUGGAUUAUAUUAUUUUCCAAAAAUCUUUAGGCUGUUCAGCCUUCAUGAAGGUUCAUUUGGUUCAAACUAGAUGAUACAUUUCAAUGAGGUGAUUCUGCACAGUGUUGCAAUAUGUGGACAUUAACAAAGGAUGGUCAGGAGGUCACUGCAUAAAGAACCUUCUUUUGAUCAUAUACCCAAAGUGACUGCUUGGCACAAGUCACCAGUCAUUAUCCAGUAUGUUCUUUUAAAGGUUAAGUAAUUACCAAUAGAUAAUUGUUAUAAUAUCUUCAUUCUGAAAUUGCAUGGCUUUUGGUGCCUUCUGCUAUAAGCAAGGAGACUAAUCUGUCUUCCAGAUGCAGAAAGAUGGGGCACAGAGAUGUGGCCUCUUGCUCCAGGUUACAUGAUUAGAUAUCACAAGCAGAGAGCCUGCUGAACUAAAUGCAGGUGCUCUCUCCUCACUCUAUGGUGCCCAAGUCCCUUGAUCCACAACCACCAAUGAGCUGUUUCUGGCACUAAUUGAGGCCCUUGGUUCCCAUGGAAACAACUCCAAAAUGAAAGUAUCACAUUUCACACAGGGGAGCCCUCAGAUGGAGGAGAGCGGGUCUAUAUAGAUAGCAGCAAAGGCAAGGGAGAGGGCACUGUUUUUAACUUACUAUCAAAUCAAGUCAACCCUAUUGUCUCUAAAGCAAGCCAAUCUUCAGUUAAAUGCAAACAAUGGUUGCUUUAGUUGAGUCUGACAACUGAAAAGUACAAGUUAAAAUAGCAGUUGUUGGGCGGGAACUUUGCAACAAAUAAGCUAAUAGUGGCAUUUUAUGCUAAUGAAUCCAUUAGGAAAGACAGUGGGGUGUGUCUUAAGGGUUCAGAGAAAUGGAAAGUAAUUAGAUAUAUUUGAUUUGCUUUUGAAGAAUCACAUAAUUGACACUACAACUAGGUAUGGCAAUGUCACCUCUCAAGUUUCUGUAACUUGUCAAAGGACCUAUGAGCCUAUUCUACUGAUACCAGCCAUACCUAGGGGAAGCAGGAAGACAAAGAGAUCUUUUAGAAUAGUAUUUACUAGACACUUGAAAUUCACAGAAAAUCUAAAUUGUGAGCCUUCAGGACCCUACCUAGAGUUACCUGCAUUUUGAUCUGUCUACAGACUUAAAAACAAACUGGCAAGUAGAGCCAGUACAUUUCAGGCUUACUUGAUGGGUAAAAUGGAGUGUUAUCCAAGCUUGAAACACAAUUCAAAAUGCACUUAGACCUUGUUUCCACUGCUCUCCCAACCCAAAUUGUGCAAAGCCUGAUAUAAAUGUGUAGCAUCCAGCAUGUGCACUGGAGAGUAUAUAAAAUACGUAAAGGCAAAUGAUAAUGUGAUAUUCCUGUAUAUUUCUUAGGAGUUAAUGUUUGUACAACAAAAUACCUUGCAAAUCAGCAUAAAAACAUGAACAUCCAGAAGGAUACAGGCAGAGCUCUUGAGCCAGAAAAUAAUCACAGAAAUUAAUUUUAAAAUAGCAUUUAAAAUUAAAUGCUUCCAUUUGUAAAAGAAACUACUACAUUUAAAGAGGGGAGACAUUUUAAUGCCAGGAAGGUAAUAUGCAUCCCAAGAACUUAGCCAGGAGCAGCCCCGUGAAUCGAACUCACUCAGCAUUAUGGAAAUGUAUCACUCUGUCCUUAUUUUUUUUUUUUUUCAUUUUACCAUGAGCCAGCAGCUGAAGACAGACUGUGUGACCUGCUAUUUGGAUCAGUGAUCUAGAAAAUUCUGACCACAUAGACAAACUUCUACAAAUUGAAGAAGGAGUCAUGGAUAAUUGAAACACUAAAGGGGACCACCAGGGAUCACACACACACACACACACACACACACACACACACACACACACACUGCUAAGGAGGCUCCCAAAAGUCAGUACCAUGAUCUUGGUAAGAAAGCAGAUGUGGUCAGAAAAAAAAAAAAGCCCAUCUUAGGCCAUAUCCAAUCUAUUCUAAGUUCUUCAACACAGUGAGCUACUGAAACAGGAUGGGUUUUAAUGACACUUGAGGGCCGACAGCCACAGCCAGACAGAGCCAUUGACUUUGGUCAUUUAUACAAGUGUUUGACAGUGGCUAUAGCCCACCAGCUGCCUGAAAAGAACGUAAGGUGUCUAAAAUCAUAGUGUGAGGACCCCUUCAUAAGGCCCCUUCUCUAAUCACAGACUUCCUGCCCCCAUCCCCAAGAUAGGUGGAACUCUCUAAAGUGAAGCCUAACUGAAUAGAGUCAAGAAGCCCACCUCCCAUCUACAACCAUCCAGGGACAUCCAUCCUCCCUGUCCUUUGCUUCACUCUGGAGGCUGUGCCUCUGGAGAUAGGGUAGACUUAGAUCAGGCUGGACCGACCUGUGUUUCUCUAGUGUCUCCUUCCUGAGAUCACCUCCACAAGACCCUGUGCCCUCGCAGCCAGUGAGAAUUUUGAUGAGGCAGCAGAAGGACUUACAAAGCCCAAGCCACCGCAGGGGUUGACCAGAUUUUGGUGGGCAUCCUCUCCUUCCAGUCCCACCAUGUCACUGCAAGUUAAUUGAUGUCCUCACGUUUGCAGUCAAAGACAUGGACAUUAAUUGGGUUUAAGAGGGGUUACCUAGUACCACAGUAGAUGCCAAAGAUGUGGCUCAAGCCUGCUUCUAUCUACUCCCAAAGUCCUCAUUACAUUCUCAGAACAGAUGAAGUGUGGGAGUGGCAUCAACACCUAGAAACAAACCAAAUGUCCACCAGAAGGGGCAUAACUAAAUAUAUGUCAGGUGUAUUGUGCUCAUAGCAUAUAAUUACAUGCAGGUGAAGUAAGAUAAAGAGAAAUAAGCUAAGAUUUCUUUCGUAACGUUUGGUCACAAUUGAGAUAAAAAUGACUACUAUAUUUAACAGGGUAGGCUGAUGAUUGGCUUAAGUAAUAUGAUAAGGAGAUUCAUCAUGGAAUCAGCUCCCUGUCAGAUCUUAAAUUCUACUAGCCCACUUGGAUGCAAGGAGACAGACUCAUCCCUUCCCUAGUGUGUUGUCCCUCAUAGACAUAGAACUUAAGCUUACAUGAGAGGCGUGGAGUCUUCCUUCCUUCCUUCCUUCCUUCCUUCCUUUUUCCUUUCCAUUUUUUUUCUCUAAAUGUACUGAUGCCGAGCUGGAAUUAUAUCUAUUAGAGUCUGGAAAAGAGGGGUUUCUGAGGGAGUUCGUCCAGCUAAGGCCCCCAAGUCCUGGUCCGUGGCUCCAAAUGCUUCCUCAAGCCAGCUGGCUUCUUGUCCUGACUCCCUCGCUUCUUAAGUGGUGUCUGAAGGCCGUCUUCUAUCUCCCUCCUCCCCAGCCUUCAGUGUAGGGAGGGAGUCCAUAUCUGAGUUGCUAUCUCUGAAUGAUCCAGCAAUCUUUGUCCUCCUCAUAUGUGCAAUGUUCUGCGAAUUUGGGAAUGUUCUUGGCCCUCAGGCCCUCAAGCCUUGAGGCCUCCAGGUAAGGGAGUUAGCAAUUUGCUGGAAGGAAGCUGCUUCUGCUCCAACUCCCAAGUAGCAUAGUAGUGGAAGGCAGUCAGUCUACACCAGCCUCCAUUGACUAGUAAAGACCCCACCGGCAGGACCCACAGUCACGUCUCCCUCCCUCUGCAGCAGCAGUGUGGACAAAGCCCGUAUGUCAAGGCCAUGAUGGGAUACACACUGAGUAAGAGUGGCAGGAGCCUUCAAUAAAGACAGAAUUCAGAUUGGCUGGAGGGGUUGGCCCCCCAGCUUUACAGUCACAUGCUGCGCAUUGAAGCUUUUGGUAACCUGAUGGAGUAUGCUUUGGGGGACGUGAGGUCCCUGUGCCACUAAGGUGGAGGCCACCAGUGGAAGAUAAAGCCAGCUCACCUGCUCAGUCCAUUACCUAGGCCUCAAUCCAUUGGCUGAAAACCCUUUUUCCUUGUUGAGCUGACUUUCGCACUUCUAGGCAGCCCAGUUAUGUUACCCCUGAAUACAAUCAAGGCUGUGCACACAGCUGAGACUUCUCCAUGCAAAAGGAGAAGCUGAGCAGGGCUAGGGCUACAUUACUUCCUCUUAGAGAAGUGUUGCUUUUGGACAAAUCUCUGGUCUAUGAAUAGACAUCCUAAACUCGGACAAUAGCGGCUCCCAGGGCUGUGCUGCAUGAGACUGGAGUGGCAUCCCCAGCAGCUCAGCCUCUGCUUUACUCGGAUCUACAGGUGGGGAAGGGAGGAACAGCCCUUGCCUUUCAAAGACCUGGCUGAACUUGAAAGUUGCCCCCUCCCCCUGAGUUCUAUAGCAACCAUAGGAAGCUGUGUGCAAAGCAAAUGCCUGACAAAAGGCGAAUGGGUUGAAAGGGAAGCCGGAGCUUUCUCCAGACUCUGAGCUGAACUUAAUUGGAUCCUAAUUGUCUUCAAAUAAAUAAUUAAGACAUUUAAGCAAAGGACAUUCUAUGGCUGAUUUAAAAAAGAGGUCAUCCCAGGUGUCUUAUUGAAAAUCACAGGUGUUUAAGGCCAAGGCCUAAAAGCAGCCACGCUACCCUCCGGGACUCUUCAUAAACUCAAAGCACCACCCUUGGGCUGCAGAUGAACCCUACUUAUGAAGAAGCAGAGGAUGAGGUCUCAGGUAUAUGGCCUCAGUUUCCUUGCUGACCCAGGAAUCAUCCGGGACAUGUUCCUUCAGGUCUUAGAGAUGAAAUAAAACAAAAGAAGCCACCAUGCUGCGCCCGACCUUGUCAGUAGGCAGCUCACAUGAUCAUCCAUAGCAGGCCAAGGAGCUCCCGAACUCCGAUAAAACACACGAUCCUCUGCCUUGACACAGAAAAGAAUUGUGGAAAGAGCUGGUAAAGAGAAAAAUCUGUUUUUAUUAAAAAAAAUAAUAAUAAAAUAAAACAAACUUUUUUGUGUCUUUUUGUUUUGUUUUGUUUUGUUUUUUGGUUUUUUUGUUUUGUUUUGUUUUGACAUAGAUGCUAAGCAUGAGAGUUAAGGGAAAGGAAUCAGGAAACAGUGAGAUAUACCUGAGAGCGUAGAUGUGGCCACCUUAAAAGAGAGAUCUACUUCACUGACUUACAGUAGUCACAUAUAUAGGAUGGGGGGGGGCACAUCUCAAAAGAGUUGCUAAGAAACUGAAAUGAGAUCCCAGGGUGGUUCCUGAGGGGCACCAGGAAGACUACGGGUGAGGGCCACCGUCUAAGCCACUCUGAUUUAGAAAGUUAGGCUAUCGUCUCUGUAAACAAAGGUACUCUUGUUUGAGUUCCCAGAAAAUAUCUGGGUAUAGUGAGAAUGUUGGUUUCUUUGAAAAACACAGAAAUAUUAUGGGAAUAUGUUUUGGUUUUAGUCCCAGGUGGGGUGCGAGGCUGCUUCAGACUGUCCUCUGCAGCAUGACUGUGCCAUCUAUAGGUAGUUUCUGCAGUUGUGUGAUAUGUGUGAUGCCUGACUUUUCUGAGGGUAUAUAAAUGCUAGGGCCCCGAGAGGUGGGAUGGGUUCUUGGUGUUGGUUGGUUGGUGGCUGAUGGUCAAGGUUUGUUAAGUAGUCAUGCGCAAAGAAGAAACCGGAAGAAGAGAUUAGCUAUCCUAAUGACGAAGAUCAAGCUUGCCCCAGGGAACUUAACGCCCACAAUCAGCAGGAAGUAGUCUGAUGAUAACGGCACCCCCGUCCCACCCCCCCAUUCUUUUUCUGGACUAUCUCGAGUUAGGGUGGAAAGGGGGUGGAGAGGGUGGAAGAAAAAAGAACCCACAGAGUAGCCAAGUGCUGGCUACACCUGGGAAAGAAGUAAAGCUAUCCUUGAAGAUUGCACAGACAUAAGAGGAGUGCCAGCCGAUGUGCUUGCAGCCUUGACAGGAAAUAUUCCUCGUGCUGGAAUUCUUGGUUCUUGGUUGACAGGAAGUUCCAACCCAGACUCUAGGUUGAGGGACUCUCUUUCCUUCCUGUGACCCCAUCAUUUUUUCUGUCUUUCUAUCCUACCUUAACGUGGGACAUGACCUCCAGUUUUUGUGGAGCUUGAAUAUGGCAAAUACGAUUUCCCCCACACUCAGACUUGGAAUGGACCCAUGAGCCUAUCCGAUUCAGAAGAGGGGUGUGACACUUUACUGAAGCCUUUCUACCAGUUGUCCUGGGUGAAAAUGACAAAAUGCCCUCUUCCUGGAGCAACAGGCAGCUUGUGGUCUCAUGACGCCCGUUUGAUAGACAAAAGGCUCAAAAAAAGGCUGAACCAACUCUAGAGCGCCUUCUAUGUCCCAAUCCAGUGUUCUUUCUGUCACAUAGAAGGAACAGAGCCAUGCAAACUUCUCCAAGGGUGCACCCCAACCCGACUGCUGACACUUCAGCAGGGCCUGCACGAGGGCACCUGACCCAAUGUGAGGCAUCUAGCCUAGCUUGAAGGCCACUGAGAAUGGCCAUUCCCAUUCCUUUCCUAAUCAACCUCAGAUCCCAAUUCCCAUUGCCCUGGAAAAACACUAUUUUAAAGAAAAGGGAACCAUUGCCUUAGGCCUCCUUGGGAUUGGAAAUGCCAAGUAGGAGGCAUCACAGCUGCCCUCCUUAGGAGGGAAGACGACGAGGGCAGGGGCUAGGAUGCCCAAAAAGGGAGGGUCACUUCCUCCCUGUAGAGUAUGGCUAUCUUAUAGAUUUGGGAUUUUACUUUGUUUGGGGUUUUGUUGUUGUUUUGUUUGUUUUUUAAGUCUGUUAACAGAUUAAUCUGUUUAAUCUGUCUGGUAAAACUAAGACCAAAAUCUGAGUUUUGGUCAGAAGAUAGGAUCCGAGUUGUACCCUUGGCCCUGGGUGGAAACGUGGCAUUCUGAGCUGACCAAAAGGUUUUAAGAUGACAAAAGACAUUGCUUCUGCCCCCUCCCUUAAGAGCUAGUCCAAAUGAUCCAGCCCAUCAUCUGGACAGAACAAUCCCACAGAAAGCCGAAGCUUGCAUUUUGAGGGUUGGAGAGAAGGCACUCAGCAGUUAGGGGAUGCUGGCAAUCACGAGGACAAGGAUUCGAAUCCUAUUACCCAAGUAAGGAGCCAGGAAUCCUGCAUAAGCCCACAGAUAGACACACAGACAUAAAUAUUUUUCUUUCUUUCUUUUUUUUUUUAAGCCAUAGCUUCAGGAAGCAUAACGUACCUGAAAACAUGUUAAAGAAGACGGAAAGGGUGGCUUCUCCUUCAUAAGUUAGGUACAUACAGUCCCAGAAGCGCCUGGCUCCAUGCAGCCGCUUACAGAUCCCCCCACUGCUAACCCUGCCCAAUUUCCUAGUUCCGAGAAGCAUAAAAUGUCUUUCCCGCUUCCUAUCUCUCUUUUUGGGACACUAGUAGAAAUUCUAAGCCUGCUUGCCUUAACAUUCUGGGCAUCCUCACUCUCCAAAGACUUUGCAGGCAGAGGCUCAAAGACUUUCAUUUUCCUUAGUGAGGAAGCACGCACUCACUCCCUUUUGUCUUCCUCUAGUCUGGCUCCCUCUUCCUGGCAGCUUCCAGAGAGCCCCAGCUAGCCCAGUCCACUGUUUUUCUCUCAAACACCAAUACAACUGUCCAUGAAACCUUCUGAGUCUUAUUUUGAAAUUCUUUUGUCUGAGAACCUAUAAAAGAGGCCGAACAACACUGACUGCAGUCCUUUAGCAACACACUGGGCAUAGGGCCUGGAAAAAGCCCAAGGUACAAAGCUAAAAGUAGAAUAAGACCAAAUCCAAUACAAAAUUUUAAUAAACACACACACACACACGAAGAGAUACAGUAGAUGACAAAGAUGAAACUGGCUAAUUCUCAGUUGAGACUUGACCCCCUCACUUUGGGGGUGAAUGCAAAUCAACCAAGUUAGUCAUGGGACAUCCCCAGUGACUGAGGCAACUGUCCUUGAAAGAUGUGCCUGCCCAGAUCUCCUCCCCUGUGAGUAAGGUUUGAUCAGGUGUGUGCUUGAAGAAGAGAUAAUCAAGGACAGCCGAAGUCGGUAUGAAGCAGAAGUAUUGUGAGGGAGAGUCUGCCCUCGAAAUGACCCAUCAGCAGAAAACUAUUUACCAUGUUAUGUAUAUGCAUGAUAGGGACAUACAGCCACCAAAAAUCAGGGGAUCUAUGGUCUACCCAUGCAUAUGCAGACCAUCCAAUGUUCUAAUCCUUUUGUCACUCAAGGAGCUGCCCAGUUCCUCCUCCUCCUGGAGACCAGCUCUCCCUCCCACCUCAACUCCAGAGAAACUCAACAAAAAGAGUGGCUCUGGGGACAGACAGAGCCUUGCUGCUUGCUCUGAGCCCCUCUGCCCUUUUCUUCUACACACAACCUUUUGCUAUCAACUAUGGGCCUAUGAAUUCGAAGCUGACAAAGGUCACCAGAUCUCACAGGCAGAGAGCUGGCUAGCCAACCAGGAGGAAAGCUCGCCCAAGGGGGCAUCCCAACACAUCCUUCUGACCACUUGCCUUUCUUGCUGGCUAUCUGUAGAGGUCACAGAGAAAAUGAUUUAAAAACACUAGACUGUUCACCAUUUAAAGCCUUCCAUAAUGGGGCAUCCAGGUAGACAGCAAAACAGGCUCUGCCUAGGACGAGGCAGAUGCAUACAUCAGCUGAGUCUCAUUCUAUGAGUGCACAUAAGUCUGGCACCAAAAAGAAAAGUAUUGCUUGCUUUACUUUUCAUUCACAAGAUAUCCACACACACACCCUUUUCUUUUCCUCUGUAACAAGAUAUGGAUUCCCAUUUCCAAUUUCAUGUGUACACUGAGAUCUGGAGUUCAGGAACUUUCCCUUUUACUGCCUUUGUUAGAAGGCCACAAUUAUUAUCCAGGACCAAAAAAAAAAAAAAAAAAAAAAAAUUACCUGGCUGAGAUAAACUUACAAGCCACAUUCUAAAAUGCUGCCCGACCCAACACUAAUGAAUCUCAAGAAGCAAGAGACAUUACGAUUCAUCGCUGUCUAAAUCUUUUGGACUAGACAGAUGAGCUCUUCCUAUGCUGAAGCAGAGUGUUCAGUUCUUUUGGGGUUGAGGUGGUUUUGUUUAUUUUCAUCUAAAUGUAUUUGUGGAGGGAGGGAGGUUCGGGGUGGGCAGAGGAUUGGCACUGGUGCCAGGGUAAGCAUGUGGAAGGAAGUUAGGGGCUAACCCACAGGAAUCUCCCCUCUUCUAUCCAUCUGAGUCCCAGGAAUCAAACUCAAGUCGGCAGGCUUGGCAGCAAUUGUGCUCACCUGCUAAGCCUCCCUAAGGCCCCUGACUCAACUUCUUGUUGCUAUUAUAAGAGUCAUCUGGCUCCCGGCUUCAAAGGAACAAAUUCAGUCAAGAGGCAGGGACAAUCGGCCAAAAGUUCGUUUAGCAGAGGCUAAGCAGAGCGAGCACUCCGAAGACAGACCCAGAAGGAUCUGAGUGGAGGGUUGGGAGAGGCUCCUAUGGAUGACCCUUUUUUGUGUCUCGAAUCAUGGUUGCAAGAUCUUCCUUUGAGGGUGUUUUUCUCCCCACGUCAUCUUCACAAAGGAAGGGAGGUGUCAAAAACGGCAGUAACACAGUGACGUCAGGCCCUUUGAGGACUCCAUCUUUUGUUGGGGUAUAGGGAUAAGUGGACAUAGUGGCCACACCAUAACUGUACUGCUCUUUAGCCACCAAGGGGCCUUCUGACCAUCAGGAAACACAGUCACCUGGGAUAUGACAGCAGCUCUCCCGGUGACCUCACAUCUGACUCCUUGCCUUGGGGUGGCGUCUUUCCUGGACGAGGUGGAGACCUUCUGACAAGUUGUUCUUACAAUUUAGUCUGUUGCAAUUAGAUACAUUACUCCAUGAAAGGACAACAGUGUCUUGUAUAUAUUCUUCAGGUAGAAGCCUGCCAAAAGUAACUGUGAUUUUUCCCAGACCCCUCUCUGUCUUUACUUUUGUCUGUCUUGGCUGUCUCAUACUCAGCUGCCAGCCUUCUUAUUUACGUUCCUUGGUGUUCCCGACUGGCUUUUGACUCCUGAUAUCUUAGCGUUCGUUUUAAUCCACACAUGUGUUUGUGCUAUAGCACUUCCCACCUUCAGGCAAUCAUGGACCACAUUUCCCUCUGACUAUCUUAAGGGAUGGCACUGGGAGGAUGUCAGUCAGUCAGGUUGCCAUUGUACACACCCAGGGAUGUCCCACCUGGAACAAGGGACAAGUGAUGGGAGAAACCUCCAGCUAAGGUUGGCGACUCCCAACUAAGAGGGAUUCCAAAGUAGGGAGCCCCUGGAAUCUUCAGUAUGACCUGCUUCGCCAGCCCUACCCCGGGGUGGGAAAGAGGCCUCCUGAUGUCCAUUCCCCCCCUCAUAGCAAACUCCUCUUCUCUUCCAGCAGGCUCUUCCCUCAGGUUUCUCCUUAACCACUGGCGAAAAUUGUGUUUUACUGCAAUACUGACUUGCUUCCAAACAAACUGGGGGAUGGAGAAAAAAGCCCUCAACAAAUAGUCUCAAUGAGAAUACUAUUCUGCAACUAGAUCUCUUUCAUUAGGAGGCAAGGAAAGUAGUCUGAGAUCCUGUGUGUCCAGACCUUGAUGAUUCUCUAUCAGGAUCCAUUGGUCUGUCCAGGACACACAGAACCAGAGGAAAAGGGGUGAGAGAAAAUCUUGGAUAUUCUAGACAGCCCACUCAAAUUCUGGUUCUCCCUCCCCGAACCACUCUAAUCACCACGCCUCCUGAACCUGAUCCCCAACGUCUCUCUUCAAGUUCCCAACAUGUGGAUAGUAGAACCCCACAUUCACAAGCAUGAUCAGAGCUCCCACCACUGAAAGAGGCGGCUGGAAUUAACAGGCCUGUCCGGAUACAGGUAGCCUUUCUGACAUCCAGCUACGUAAGGGGAAAACAGAGGAACCGCCUCAAGAACCCAGAGAGGUUUCCCAUUGGCUUACAGCUCUGUUUGUGCUGGAAAAUGAUCCUCUUGAUCCACAGAGAUUCCCAGAACUGUUUAGACUUUACUAUUCCCCUCCCCCUCCCACCACACGCCCACUUACUUGUUGCUUACUUGUUACUUGGAAAGGCUUGUUUUUAUUCACGAAUUCUUUAUUGACUUUAGCCUCUUUGCCAGGGAGAAACUUGAUGAUAAAAUUCAAGGUAAUUUUACAAAUUUAGACAGUCCCUUUGUGGGGAAAAAGGAGCUCUCCUUUGAACAGAGGCUGGGCACCUCCCCCCUAAGACAGACAUCAGGCUGAUCCUUGAGCUUGAGCGUGGUAUGCUUAUCAGCCUUGGGUUCAGGACUGAUGAAACAGCCACGCCCAUUCAGAUCUCCUUGCAAGACCUCUUCUAUUAUCCCGCCAAGUCAGGAAGGCAAGAAAGGGAUUUCAGCCUGCCCUAAACCAGUUCCUAAAGUUUGAACUGCAAAACCCUGUAAUCCUCACUCUGUAAUACUCUCCUCCUGGCCGUGAAACUAUCAGUUGUUUCAAGACCUGUGAAAUGAAGCCAUAACCCCUAGCACCUCCUUUGGGUAGUCCCCUAAGGCAAGCUCUCUAGAGCUACCCGAUGGUUUUCAGAUAAAGAUGUCUUUUUUAUUCUUUCUAUUCCACUUCAUUCAAGACUCCAGUUCCUACUGGCUUUUGAAUGGGAAGCUCCACUGACUAUGGAAAAAAAACCCAAAGACAAACCAUAAUACUUGUGUGCAGUACUUCCUUGGAUCUUGGGGCAUAUCUCCCACAUUUUUGUUCCAGGGGAUAAGGAAGGAAUUUCGAAGACUUGAUGCUAAAAGAGGGGACAGUUUUACAGGAUAAUCUCAUAUUAUUAAGAGCCCAAAUUUCUUGGCAGAGAGGGGAUAGAAAGUGUCAAUUUUUUUUUUAAAGGCACAAAUCUCUCUCAAUAGGGUAACAACCUGGGAUACACUCUCCAUGCCCUGAGAACCAGGCAACUCAUACCUGACUAUCCUCAGAAUGUUUACACAUGGAGUCUCCAGUCAGCCAUAACACUUCUUUGGAGCGAUGCAAUUUUCCAAUUUUGGCUUCCCAGCUUGAGGCUUAUAGUAGAGCCUUAUCUGAGGUAACUAGAGGACCAGACAUUAACCCUCUGUAAUUAAUGGACUUCAGAAAUACAGACAGUCUUCAAGGACCUCAAGCAGCUUUUCUUUGGGUUAGGACCUUAUCCAGGGAAAUACCUGGUCCAACAAUACUCUUCACUGUUUUUGUAGCAUAGAAAAAGAGUAGCCACUUAGGGCUCUAACCCUGCUGCUAGGUCCCAAAUCCUGGAAGGUGGCCUAUAUAUUCUAGAAAUCUAGACAAAAUCUAGGCAGAGAUAGCUUAACUGCCCAGGGGUGCCCACUGCCCUCCUGGUAGGCAAGGCUACCAAGAUAACUCCAAGACAACCACUGGAAGUUCAAAGCUCUGUGAGUUCAAAGGCAUCCUAAAAGUGCCAUGAAACAUCAAGACAGCACAGGGAAGAUUAAACUUGAUACAAGCCACUCUCCCCAGAUAGUCAUACAAACUUAGCAAGACUUUAAAAUUUGCUCAACUUAGGCACCUGUCAUGGGAAGCCAAACAUUCUCAUGGGCAGGUUAUCUCUCAAAAUGACGCUCACCCCUGACAUAGGAGAGCAAGUCAGGUCCACUCCAGAGGAAGAAGGGGACACUGGUGGCACUAGCUAUGCUCUCCAGUGUAAAAAAGAAGCUGGACACAAGCAGGUCCAGUCACAAGCUCUAUCCUCUUGCCCUACCUGGACUUCAGCACAAGAGGCUAAAUUCAUUACCCUGACCUGGGUCCUUACUCUCUAGGUAAGGAGGAAAGACUUAAUUAAUAUUUAUACUGACUCCAAAUAUGUCUUUGUGGCUUUACCCAUCCAUGCACCCACAUGGAAGGAACAACGGCUGCCGACGAGAAAGCAGUCCACGCUAAAACACCACAAAGAGAUUCUUCAGUUGCUGGAAGCUGUUAAUCUCUCAGAGAAGGUAACAGUGAUCCACUGGAGAGGGCAUCAGAAGGACCACAGCUCACCCUCUGAGAGAAAUAGAAAGGAUGACAGAGAGGCAAAAGCCAGGGUGCUGACAUGCCCCCCUGUGCCUACUUACCUGUUACCUUUCAGUAAGACACUAGACUAGGUGCACUGUGACUAUGGCCUCCCAACUCAAUGUGUAUGUUGCAUUGCAUUUGUGUGUGUGUUCAGGUAUGCUCACUUGUGUGCACACAUACAGGGGCCGUAGCAGCACAUCUGGCGUCUUCUCUUGCUCUUCGCCUUAUUGCCUUGAUGGUCUCUCACUGAUCCAAUAGUUCACUGGUUUUGUCUAGGCUGGCUACCCAGCGAACUCUCAGGAUCUAGCUGUCUCCAUGCCCCAAUGCGGGUUUUGUCUAGGCUGGCUACCCAGCAAACCCUCAGGAUCUAGCUGUCUCCAUGCCCCAAUGCGGACGCUAUAGGCACAGACAGUCACACCUGGCUCUUUAAUAUGGAUAGUGGGUAUUCAAACCCAGGUGUUCCAGCCUGCCAUUCUUCCUACCUACCAAGCCCAUUUCCUGAGCCCGCCUCCUGUCCUUUGAUAGGUAUCAGCUUAAUGAUGGCCAUCAAGCUCAUGUGUCAGACCUGUCCCCUCUGUGUAGCUAACAGUCCAAGGACAAGAAUACCCUCCCCGAUUUAACUCUAUUUGAAAAAAAAAAAAAAGUUGUCCAGGGAAGGGCUGGCCUGCUUCCAGGGGCUACAAGCAAUUCCUAGGAUCACAGAUGCCUAUAUAGAUGGAAUGGAUAGAAGGUUUAACCACCCACUAAGGUGAUUAAUGGACUCCUCAGAACAUGUAUUUCCAGAUUCAGCCUCCCGAGAUCAUUCCAAAGCAAUCAUGGACCAUCCUUUACCUCUCAGGUAACCCAAGGGGUUUCAACAGUGACACCUACAUUCUGCAAGCACACCUCAGUCUUCUGGAAACACAGAAAGGGGAAACCAGACUUUUAAUUGUCCCCUGGCUAGUUUGUGCCAGGAGACCUUAGAAAAUGGCUCACCUACUCCCAAGAGCCCCAGUGAAGAUAAGAAACGAACACCAUGAGGUUUAGAUGAGCCCUAUGAGAUGCUGUACAGGAGGUGUGCUUUGUAGCGGUCUGGUCUGCUCAUUGACACUGACACUAGCCCCAUCCACUAAGGUACCUCAUUGGCUUGGGCCAGUUUCUACAAACCAUCCAUGAGUACAGGACCCCAAGCCCUUUCAGCUCUAGACUCUAACCUUAUCACCACUGGUGGUCAGACAAGGGGAAUCAGGGGGAAAAAAAACUUGGGGAAAGGAUUCUUUAGCUGCUUUGCAGCCAUGCAAAUUGCUGAAAUGCUCAGCUGGAUUCACCUCUCUAGAGUCAAACCACUCCCUCCAGAUGUUUCUGUGCUGGAAAAGCCUACCAAAGGGCCUCAGAUAAUAUGCUCCUUUGAGCAUAUAAAAUUCUUCCUCAUAAGACACACUGACCAAACAGAUAAAUGACAGUUGAUCAGUGUGCUCUGAGGCAGCCCCUAUUCGGGGUAAAAGUGUCUCUAGGAUUGUCGCCUCUUCCACUAGAUCUGAUUAUGAGGUCCUUACUCACUUCCUCUGGGGUUGAAUCAUUCUUUAACACGCCAGGCUUCCCUUCAAAGAACCUUCCUCUGCCUUUUGUAAUCACAAAUACCCUAAAAACCUUUCUUUCGACUCUUCUAUUCCCUCCCAUGUUAUAUCUUAAAGAAGCCACUGCUUACUAGACAAUCAAACUGCUUCUCUCUGAAGUCUCACCCACCUCCCUGGCUGUGUCUCCUCUUCAGGCUAGAACUACAUAGGGCAGCAGCAUGAGCCCAGGAGGGUUUCAGGAAGCACAAGGUCCGGGCCUAUGAGGCUCGGCUUUCUAGUCUUCUGCCAGUAGGUGGCUAUUGUCCCAGAAAGAAAGGAGGAGGAAAAAAGGAACUGGUCCACUCCCAUACUAAUUACAAGUGGAAAUCUUUUCCCUCUCUACAGGACUGUUGUUCAUAUAUAUCUAAGCUGGGAAGCAACUGCCAGGUCCCCUUUCUAUAUAGGUGAUAUGGCGAAGGUGGCGCUGGCCUGUGAGUGGGCAACUUACCUGCCUAUCUUUGCUAAGCUAGUUCCCUGCUGGGGCUCCACAGCCACUUAAUCAUUUCACUGGGAUUAAUUAACCUUAGAGAUAGCUGUAACAACUCUCAUCUUUUCUCUCUGAUGUCUUACCAAACUUCUAACUUAUCAAUAAUCUAGCUCCCUUUCUGUCCUGAAAAAGGCCUACCUAGAGGUUAUCCUAAAACCUCUUACCUCCAAAAACCUACUACAGACAGUUAUUAUCUCUUUACUAGCUAUGGAGCAGGCAAGCAUAGGGGAUCGUUUAGCAACCUACAGCUCCACUUGACCUAGGCUGUGCCCAUGCCUCUCUUCUAAUACUGCACCUGUCAGCCAAGACCUACUUAAGCUGCGUGUGCUGUCCACAUGGACCCCUCUCUAUGAACAUUGUCCCUUGCAACUUCUUAGCAACCCCGGACCCUCAUCUUCAUGGAGCUGAAUACACACUCCACUCUGAACAAUGGAGUGAGUUUCUCUUCCCUCCAAUGACCAACCUCAAACUUAAACUCUGUUCAAUCAUUUUCUUCUUGUGUCCAGGAAUUCAAAGGCACAUCUGAUCCGAGCUAGUUUGGGGGUGAGUAUGCGGUAGGCAAACUGUGUCCUCAUUAUGAAUUUUUAAUGAGAAUCCCCAAUUUACCAUUUUAUGCCUAUGCAUUAAUUGUGGAAAGGGGCAAACCACAGUUACAGAAAUGGUGAGAUAUCUUAAACUGUCCAUCAAAAUAGAGAACUGCCCAAACUGUGCCCCUAGAGCCAAGUUCCUCCUCCUCUUCCUCCUGAACCCCAUAAAAGGAAAAUCUCCAUAAUAAUCAAGGCACUUGACUUAAGGGCUCACUGUCAAUCUUGAGAAUGCAAUCUUUUCUCACUGGUUUGCACUCUGAGUAAAGAAUCCUUGCUACUUUGCCGCCUGCGUUCCCCUUUGACUAAGAUGCCAAGGACCAGGAACACCUGGCCUAGAGCCCCACCACUGCAAGAGCUUUGACUUAGGUUCCUUCCAAGUCCUAUGGAAUCCUGAAAGAGGUACUUUGUAUUUCCAAAGAGUAGAAAACCAAGCCCAGCCACCAAUCCUAAAGAUUUUCCCCUUGGUGGGGUCCAAUUUGGCAGCUCACAGAUUAAUUCUACAGGGCCAAACUUGGGAGAGUAUAAAUAAACCCACCAUUCACUCAGAUCCAUUAUUUGGUUGGUUUUUUGUUUGUUUUAAGAAUUUCAUACAAAUACUAUUUUUGCAUAAUUUCCACUCCUUGUUUGUGUAUAUAAAUACAGCCUGAUGAAUCCGCUUAAUGCUGCUCGUAUAUGUAUGUGCUUAGGGAUGACUAGUUGAAACUGGAUAACCUAUCAGGUGCCCAUCCUUAGAAAAGACUGAUUGUUCUCCUUUCAGGAUCUACUGUCUACUCACUGCCUGAGGCUCUUCAUCUAAGGGCAGGGCCUUAUAUCCCCCAUCCAAGUUGAUAUGCUGGUUGCGCAGGUCUUGUUUAGGCAACCAUAUUUUUGAGAUUUGAUGGGUGCUGUUUCUCUGACAUUAUAUAGAAGACAUUAUCCCACAGCAGACAUUCUGGUCCUCCAGCUCUUAGAAUCUUUCCACCUCCUUUUCUAUAGUAUUCUUUGAUCCUUAGAUGCAGGGGGUAUAUUGUAUCAAUUGGGGUUGGGUACACCAUAGUCAGUUUGUCUUCUAUAUAUUGACUAGCUUGUGGCUGCAAAACAGUGGUAGAUUCCCCUUUAGGACCCAUGACACUACCAGCCAUGCAUAGUUUAAAGUACCAGGCAUAUAUUUUCUCCUAUUUAGCAGGCCUUAGGUCCAAUUAGCAAGCCGUUGGUUACACUCGAGAUGUACAUACCACUAUUGCACCAGCACAGAGACUUUGCCAUUCUGGUCAUUGCUGUGGCUCAUAGAAUCUUUGGCUGCUAUGAGAACUAGUUCUCAAGGAAGAAGCUCUCAGAUCAGCUCCACCUUAAUUUCUCCAAGUUCUGUGUCCAAAGUGUGAGGUGUCUUUCACAGUAGUAGGGCCUUGCCCUCAGGUUCUUUGAGUCAAUCAGGGGCAACAGAAAUAGCCCACAUUGUCUUGGGAGUCCCUUUAUUUUACUGACCAACAACUCAAAGAGAGGCUUCCCAUGAUUGACACUAAAGAUUUUCUUAGUCUAUGGCUUUUGAGGGCAGCAUUCUUCACCCCAUGUGUAAUAACUUUAUUCAAACUAUGCCUAUAUGCCUAUAUACGUAACACACGCACACAUAUGUAUGAAUCUUUAAAUAGCUAGAAUUUCACGUGUACAAGUGUUUUGCCUGCAUUUAAGUGUUCCAUGUGAUACAGUGCCUGCAGAGACCAGGAGAGGACACCAAAUCUCCCCUGGAACUGCAUUCGGAGGUUGUGAGCCACCCUGUGGGUGCUAGGAAUUGAACCCUGUCCUCUGUAAGACUGCAAGUGCCCUUAAGUCCUGAGUCUUCUCUCUAGCCUCUACAUUUUAUUUUCCCCUAUGGCUUUUUCAAAAUACCCUUCAUGGUAUAUUCUUCCUCCGUUCCUCUCCUAGUAUCGGUCUCUCCCCCCACUUCCUAGUUAACUGUCCCAUUUUUUUCAUCUCCCCCUUACCAGCCUGUGGGCUUCCUUUUCUUCUGUUGCCCUUACCCAUGGUGGUUCUCUGCUUUCCUGGUUCCUGUGCUGACUCCAGGUUAUUAGUGGAAGCUAGGAUCUACAAAUGAGAGACUGUGGUGCCUGUCUUCUGGGCCUCGGGUACCUCAGUAUAAUAAUUGGGAGUUCACCAGAGAACCCGACCUUAAGGCCUCUGGCCAUUAUCU